UGAGAUGCCAUUGGGAGAGGCCAC
rnacentral:misc_RNA from 1 species